CCUACGGGUGGCAGCAGUGAGGAAUAUUGGUCAAUGGACGAGAGUCUGAACCAGCCAAGUAGCGUGAAGGAUGACUGCCCUAUGGGUUGUAAACUUCUUUUAUAUGGGAAUAAAAUGUUCCACGUGUGGGAUUUUGUAUGUACCAUCUGAAUAAGGAUCGGCUAACUCCGUGCCAGCAGCCGCGGUAAUACGGAGGAUCCGAGCGUUAUCCGGAUUUAUUGGGUUUAAAGGGAGCGUAGGUGGAUUGUUAAGUCAGUUGUGAAAGUUUGCGGCUCAACCGUAAAAUUGCAGUUGAAACUGGCAGUCUUGAGUACAGUAGAGGUGGGCGGAAUUCGUGGUGUAGCGGUGAAAUGCUUAGAUAUCACGAAGAACUCCGAUUGCGAAGGCAGUUCACUGGACUGCAACUGACACUGAGGCUCGAAAGUGUGGGUAUCAAACAGGAUUAGAUACCCGAGUAGUC
rnacentral:rRNA from 1 species